UACGUAGGGGGCAAGCGUUGUCCGGAAUCAUUGGGCGUAAAGCGCGUGUAGGCGGCUCGGUAAGUCUGCUGUGAAAGUCCAGGGCUCAACCCUGGGAUGCCGGUGGAUACUGUCGAGCUCGAGUCCGGAAGAGGCGAGUGGAAUUCCUGGUGUAGCGGUGAAAUGCGCAGAUAUCUGGAGGAAUACCGGUGGCGAAGGCGGCAUCCUGGACCGGCAUUGACGCUGAGGAGCGAAAGCUAGGGGAGCAAACGGG
rnacentral:rRNA from 1 species